UGAACGCUGGCGGCAGGCCUAACACAUGCAAGUCGAGCGGCAGCGGGUCCUUCGGGAUGCCGGCGAGCGGCGGACGGGUGAGGAAUACAUCGGAAUCUGCCCUGUCGUGGGGGAUAACCUAGGGAAACUUAGGCUAAUACCGCAUACGACCUACGGGUGAAAGCGGGGGAUCGCAAGACCUCGCGCGAUAGGAUGAGCCGAUGUCCGAUUAGCUAGUUGGCGGGGUAAAGGCCCACCAAGGCGACGAUCGGUAGCUGGUCUGAGAGGAUGAUCAGCCACACUGGGACUGAGACACGGCCCAGACUCCUACGGGAGGCAGCAGUGGGGAAUAUUGGACAAUGGGCGCAAGCCUGAUCCAGCCAUGCCGCGUGGGUGAAGAAGGCCUUCGGGUUGUAAAGCCCUUUUGUCCGGGAAGAAAUCGUCUGGGCUAAUACCCCGGGCGGAUGACGGUACCGGAA
rnacentral:rRNA from 1 species